CCGGCCUGCCCCCUGGGCUGCGCGGCCACCCUCCAUCUGGUCCUGGGGUGACAUUUCCAGUCUGUGUCCCUUGCCCUCGCACAGCUUCAUAAGAAACUUCAGUGCCCCUUGUAAAGCCACCUUGGGAAGCAGGGCGGUCGCCAGCCCCGCCACAGUGGUCCUGUGGGCGCCUGAGCCCCCACGGGAAGCCCCCCCCACUGGCCCCUGCCUCUCCAUGUCUGCAGCCAUGGCUGGGUGUGUGGCCUCCGCUCCCUGCCCAGCAGAGCCCUGUUGAGAAAGGGCGGCCAGAGGCCAGCUCCACCCCCGAGGGGCGCUGUCUGGAUGCAGCCUGCCUGGACGCCAGCCUUGGCUGCGGGCCUGGGGCCCCUGGUCUGACACCUGCUCCCUGUGGGCAGCUCCACACCUGCCUGCCCCCGCCCCAGGGCAGUCCUGCAGCUGUCACCAAAACAAAUGCUCAGUGGGAUACCUGCGAGGCAUCUGCCUCAGAUAUGUAGGUGUUGGGGGAUGGCCAGGCUUUCACAGGUCCUCCAGGCCCUUGAGCCACUUCCCCGUCGUGUGCCGGCUGUGGGAAACCCAGCGGCUCUGCCCGAAGGCAGACUGGUCGGGCACGGGGCUCAAGCGUCCUGCACACCCACUUCCUGGUGCAGCUAGGCAGGGCCACGGAGACCUUCCCGUGAAUCCUGCAAAGGUGGAGUGUGGAGUAUGUGGCAGGAGGGACAAGGCAGGGACUGUCCACACCAAGUUCCCACGGCCGUCCCAGGACCCUAGUGCACGUACCCUGUGACGGCUGCUGCCACCCCCAGUCCGAGGGCCUUGUCCCUUGUUGACAGCUGUGAGCACAGGAAGUGCCCUCAUCCCAGCUCACAGGUGGGGAAGUUGAGGUCCUGGGGGUCCAGCCCGGCACCCACUGGGGCCCCACUGGUGGCUCAGUGGGUAAGAAUCCACCUGCCAAUGCAGGAGACGUGGGUUUGAUCCCCGACCUGGGAAGACUGCACGUGCUGAGAUGCAGCUGAGGCCUGCGCACAGCUGUCAAGCCCAGGCUCCUGAGCCCACAAGCCCCAGAGCUCGCGCUCCCCACGAGGAGCCGCUGCAGUGAGAAGCCCAAGCGCCACGACCAGAGCGCAGCCCUCGCUCACCGCAGCUGGAGAGAUGCCCAUGCACAGCCCUGAAGGCCCAGGGCAGCCAGAAACUAAUGUGAAAGGCUGCCCAUCCCCAGCACAUUGUAAAUGGUACCUUUUCAUGGCAGCCUUUCCAGUGUCUCCAACAGAAUCAAAAAGCUGUUGAUUUGCCGCUCACCUCUGUCCACUUGACGAGGACCCCGGCCAGCUGCCCCUUUGCAGCUGGCCGCAGCGUGCCACUCCUCCCUCCACAGAACCGCACCCCAGAGCAGGAGGGGCUCAGUUGACGGUCGAGGCCAUCACCGAGGGUCUGCUCCUCCGGGGCGCACUGUGGGCCGGGGCCAAGCCCUCUGCCAGCAAAGUGCAGCAGCUCACGGCUCCACUUCCUCCGGAGAUGCCUGUGCCCCCAGCCCUGGCGGUCGCUGCCUCUUGCCAGAGUGAGGGGUGCUGACCAGGGCAGAGCUCCCAGCCCACCUGCCACCCACGUUCAGGGUGAAGCGGCCCUCUGCUGUGUGGUGUGUUGAGACGGCUGUGGUUACUGCAGCGUGACUCGGCCUGGCCUGGCCUGCCCAGCAUCCUCUGCUGCUCCAGACAAGUGCAGUCAGUCCCUGCGUAUGGGCAAGCUCCGUUCUGAGCGCUGUUCACAAGUCCAACGAUGUUUGCAUAGGUAUCUAGCUAACACAAUUGACUACGUAGUACUGUAUUGUAAUAGGUUUAUAAUACUUUUCAUACAAAUAGUAUAUAAAAAACAGCGCGACAGCCAGCAUACAGGGACUGGUGUCGCCUGAACAGGCAAGAAGAGUUUCCGCUGAGGAGGAAGAAGAGGGGAGAGGGGCUGAGCUGAAGGAGUCAGCCACCAGAGACAAGGCGCGGCCUCACCCACGUCUGAUGUCGCUGGCUCAGGCCUGGUUCCAUGCUGGAUCCAGUUCUGUUGUCCCGAAAAAAUGAUCCGGUGAGGUCUGGGUUGUAGCUCUUUUUCUGUCGUCAUAGAUGGCACAGUAGCCCUGGAUUGCAUUCUGAACGGCUGCUACAGACGAGAACAGUGACUCCUCCAGCAGAGAGCACUCUCUGCCGUCUCCUGUAGGCUGACUCUCUCCGGUCCUUCAGGUCCUCUUCCUCCUGUCUCUCCCCCUCCUCUCUCUCUCUCCUCAGUUCCCUCCAUUAGUGAGGCCCCCAUGUUUUCUCAGCAAGGAGUGGAGGGAAGUCAUCCUCCUGCAGAUCCGCUCCGGCGUCUCUGAGGGCCACUGAAUUGCUGAAGGUCUCUUUGGGCUCCUCAUCCACCUUCUCAAACCCUCAAGAAUUGUGAAUUAUGGACAAACCCCAUUCAUGGUUGGAUGAGUGACAUGCACUACUUCCACACUGGGAUGAAAAUCAUCUACAAGCAGGGGGUAGCCCGGGGCACUGUCCAGCUUCGAAUGUCGAACGGAACGUCCUUCUCCACACAGCCUGUCUCUGCCUCUGGGACGCAGUGGGAAAACCAGUCCUGGAAAACGGGCUGUAACCAGGCUUCGGGGUUACUUUUCCACACAACAGGAAGAGAGCCCUUGGCUGUUUCUCAGGGCUCGAGGGCUCUCUGAGUGGUAAAUUAAGAGAGGUUUCAGCUUCACCUUACCGGAAGCAUUGCCACCAAACCGCAGAGUCAGCCUGUCCUUUGCUGCUUUAUAGCCUGGCAUCAGCUUUUCCUCCUCACCAAUGUAACUUCAGCCUAGCGUCCUCUUCCGGUACAGUCCUGUCCCAUCCAGUGUAAAAACCUGCUCUGGUCUUCAUACAGGCUUUUAGCUCGCUUCAAUCGGCAUUAAGCUGAGUGGGGCUAGGCGCUCGUGCUGGUCCUGCAGCCACAUGCUGAGAAGGUUCUCCGUCUCCUCCGUCACUUUCCCACGCCUCUGCAAUGCUCUGGCCAACAUCCUCUGCACAGCAGACCUACACAUUCCACCACCUUGUCCUUGCUCUCUAGGAGCGCGCCGACGGCUGAACGGUUCAUGUUUUGAGAAUAUCCUGGCCGUGAAAUAAAGACACUGCACCUCUGCGCUCUCUACAGCACUGCUCAGUAAAGGGCACAGAAGCGCAACGCUCGCAGAGGACGCGCUUGGUGACAAUGCACACCAGACGCGUGAGCCAGCGAGACUGCACAUGUGCGCAUGAGCUCACACCUUUGGAAGGUCACAACUUGGAGGCUCACAUAUACGGGACUUACUGUAUCUGCAGUGCAUCGAGGGGGUCAUCUGUCCUAAACUGUGAGACUGUGAACCCGAACCUGGGAACCAGAGCUUCCCCUGUGUUCUCAGGAUUAUUAGCUACAUACUCAACACAAUACUCAGACAUUGCAAAUUUGCAUAACAACAUGGAAGUAAAACUGACUUGGAAAUGCGUUAAUAACAAGCCAUCUGUCUUCAUGGGAGAACACUGCUUAGGGCCAAAACGAGAGAGUAUUCAGAGUGGCACUCUUUCCUGUUUUUCGUCUUCACUGAUACAAGAGCUGGUAAAACAUCACCUAAGUAGAGAUGGGAGUGCUUUGCUGUAGCAACAUCCCUCAAUUUUCCAAAGUCUCAUGUGUCAGAGGCCACAUGUUAAUGUUCUAGAGAC